rnacentral:rRNA from 1 species
AAACGACUCUCGACAACGGAUAUCCCGGCUCUCGCAUCGAUGAAGAACGUAGCGAAAUGCGAUACUUGGUGUGAAUUGCAGAAUCCCGUGAACCAUCGAGUCUUUGAACGCAAGUUGCGCCCGAAGCCACUAGGCCGAGGGCACGUCUGCCUGGGUGUCACGC